AACGCUGAGGCGUGACGACGAGGCACUACGGUGCUGAAGUGAUAAAUGCCCAGCUUCCAGGAAAAGCCUCUAAGCAUCAGGUAACACAGAAUCGUACCCCAAACCGACACAGGUGGUCAGGUAGAGAAUACCAAGGCGCUUGAGAGAACUCGGGUGAAGGAACUAGGCAAAAUGGUGCCGUAACUUCGGGAGAAGGCACGCUGGCGCGUAGGUGGAGGGACCUGCUCCCCGAGCCGAAGCCAGUCGAAGAUACCAGCUGGCUGCAACUGUUUAUUAAAAACACAGCACUGUGCAAACACGAAAGUGGACGUAUACGGUGUGACGCCUGCCCGGUGCCGGAAGGUUAAUUGAUGGGGUUAUCCGCAAGGAGAAGCUCUUGAUCGAAGCCCCGGUAAACGGCGGCCGUAACUAUAACGGUCCUAAGGUAGCGAAAUUCCUUGUCGGGUAAGUUCCGACCUGCACGAAUGGCGUAAUGAUGGCCAGGCUGUCUCCACCCGAGACUCAGUGAAAUUGAACUCGCUGUGAAGAUGCAGUGUACCCGCGGCAAGACGGAAAGACCCCGUGAACCUUUACUACAGCUUGACACUGAACAUUGAGCCUUGAUGUGUAGGAUAGGUGGGAGGCUUUGAAGCGCGGACGCCAGUUCGCGUGGAGCCAACCUUGAAAUACCACCCUUUAAUGUUUGAUGUUCUAACGUAGGCCCGUGAUCCGGGCUGCGGACAGUGUCUGGUGGGUAGUUUGACUGGGGCGGUCUCCUCCUAAAGAGUAACGGAGGAGCACGAAGGUCAGCUAAUCACGGUCGGACAUCGUGAGGUUAGUGCAAUGGCAUAAGCUGGCUUGACUGCGAGAGUGACGGCUCGAGCAGGUGCGAAAGCAGGUCAUAGUGAUCCGGUGGUUCUGAAUGGAAGGGCCAUCGCUCAACGGAUAAAAGGUACUCCGGGGAUAACAGGCUGAUACCGCCCAAGAGUUCAUAUCGACGGCGGUGUUUGGCACCUCGAUGUCGGCUCAUCACAUCCUGGGGCUGAAGUAGGUCCCAAGGGUACGGCUGUUCGCCGUUUAAAGUGGUACGCGAGCUGGGUUUAGAACGUCGUGAGACAGUUCGGUCCCUAUCUGCCGUGGGCGCUGGAGAAUUGAGGGGGGUUGCUCCUAGUACGAGAGGACCGGAGUGAACGCACCACUGGUGUUCGGGUUGUCAUGCCAAUGGCAUUGCCCGGUAGCUAAGUGCGGAAAAGAUAAGUGCUGAAAGCAUCUAAGCACGAAACUUGCCCCGAGAUGAGUUCUCCCUGACUCCCAGAGAGUCCUGAAGGGACGUUGAAGACUACGACGUUGAUAGGCCGGGUGUGUAAGCGCAGCGAUGCGUUGAGCUAACCGGUACUAAUGACCCGUGAGGCUUAACCUUACAACGCCAGAGGCGUUU
rnacentral:rRNA from 1 species